UUUUUUUUUUUUUUUUUUUUUUUUUUUUUGGCGACAACCUUUUUACUGGAGAUUUAGUAUAAUCGUUGGAUCGGCUAAGGUUUUCUGUUGUAAUCGGUAAAGAUUCACACUUUUAUCUCUAAUUUCGCUGGUGGGAAGACGAGAGAGCGAGAAGAAGUGAUAAGAGAAGAGAAAGAAGCCCUGGCGACCAUAAGGGCUCGCGGAGAGAUCUCGACAUUGAUCGUGCUGCAAAGCCCAAGUUGCCAAAGCUCAACCCAUCUGAUCGCAACGCUACGGCUUUGGGAAAAACCGGACAAGAGCAGCGUAGAGUAUCAGCGUCUCACGUGGGACGCUCUCCGUAAAAGCAUCAAUGGGCUUGUUCACAAGGUCAACGCGAGCAACAUCAAGAACAUCAGAUGGCAUCUCCUGGAUUCACGGACGUCUUUGCAGCUCUGGUCUCCGUUAUCAACGCCAAGUUCCCCGAAGUUGCUGAGCUUUUGUUGAAAAGGAUCGUCAGCUUAAUGACAAGCCAAGUCGCUGAGGAGAUUAUUGCUCUUGAAAUAGUCUCUGUGCUUCUGGAAACUCCGACUGAUGACAGUGUCGAGGUGGCUGUUGGGUUCGUGACAGAGUGUGGUGCUAUGCUCCAGGAAAAGGAUUGCAUGGUAAAUUAUUAUUUUUAACCUCUCUUUCUCUUAGUGAUUGAUCUGUUUUUAUUUUUUUAUUUUUUAAUUGGGAGACAUUAUUAGACUGCUUUUACGUCCACCUAUUCCAUCCAUCAAAUUAUUUCACAAAAGUCAAAUGAUUAUUGACAUAUGCUGCUAUGGUGGCGAUUCAUCUCUGGUAGUGUAUCUAAUUUGAUAAGAGAGUUCAAAAUUUGAUUGAAGGGCUCUUUGCUAUUAGGAAAGCAAAAUUUCAGGGACAUCCAGCUGUGCGUCCUGAGCUAGAUCUUGUGGAAGGAAAGUAUUCGCACAAUAUAUAUCUCUUAAUGAUGAAAUAGUUCUCUGGAUGUUUUCAAACCUGAUCCUAACUUCCUUCCUUGAGAUGAUUCUGGGGAUGAAGAUGGCUUUGAUGCUAAACCGGAUGUGUAACUUGUCUCUUGAUUGAAGUUACCUCUAUCAUAUCGUUUUUGAGUUGAACUUAGUGUCUUUUGAUUGGUGUUGAGUUGAAAUUAGUGUUGUUCAAUAUUGUUUUGUGUUGAGAGAGAAAUACAGAGAUAGGGGAAUCUGAUCUUAACAACAAUAUCCAUAUCGUUUUUUGUGGUUAACAGGCUGAGAUUCUACCUCGACUUCAAUAUACGCCUUGAGACAGACCGGAAAAUAUUGUUGAUUUCAAGGAUUGAUGAUUUUCUCUAUUCGAUCAAAAUCCAAAUCCAUAUUCUGUGAAGUCUACAACACGACCAGACUUUUUGGAGGGUGAGCUGAAGAUUAUCAGCUUAGAUGGUCUAUGUCUAACUCAGACUCAGACUAUGGGAGUCUUUUCCUAUGGAAUCCUCUUUUAGGAUCUUACACAAAGAUAUCAUCAAACCUCUCGAUUGGGAACUAAAAGCUUAUUACCGCUACACCUAGAGACUACAAAAUAUUGAGCUUUGCAAAAGGGAUAGACUCUGUCAACAUCCUAGAGCUAAAAAACCUUCAUUGGAGGAAGGUGAAAGCAUUAGUUGAUUGGGAGAUAGAACCGUCUUCACAUGGAGUUUCCGUGGCUGGUAUCUUACUGGAGAAACAAAACGGGUAUGGGGAACUGGUCUUUCCGGAAGAAUAUCAUUUUGCUUCAAUAUCUUCGUUCGGUGGAAAUAGAUUGUCUAGAAAUCAUUUUAGUUUCUACCACUUUUGUGUGUCUUGGAAAUUUGUAAAACAUGACUAUCGCUUUAACGAUUGGAGGAAACGGGUUCUCUCGUCUAUCCAGAUCGUCCUUUACAUCAUCUUCUUCGAUUGAGGAACAGCAGGAAGAAAGAACACGAAGAUGCUGAACAGAACAGAACCAGAGACUACUCUCACGUCAAUCCUUACGCUUGAAGCAAGAUGAAGAAGAAAUGAUUCGAAUGCACAUAAAUAACAACAUAGACACUGAUAACGAUGUAAAUACAUGAAACUGAAUGGUACUUAAAAUGUAAAUUAAAACAAAAAGUAUUUUCUCCUUCAUCAUGUAAAGCUCAACGUUAAGCUUUAAUGAAAAUCAUCUCAAUAUACUUCAAAAAGAUUUUAAGAGUCCUAAUCCGUGGAGAAUGUUCCGUUGCAGAGACACACCAAAGAUAAACAUUACUUUGCUAAGUAUAUCUAUUAUAAUAGCAAACCUAAUUUUAUUUUUCUAUGACAUCAGCAUUUUUUUAUAGGAAAAAAAAAGUUUGAUCUAACGUUUGAGUUUAUCCCUACUUUUAAUCUAACGGAAACGAUUUAUUUUAAUCACAAAAUCUUACGUCAUAUAAUUGUUUCAACAGAUUGAUGUACCUCUUCUCUGAUCGACGCACGACGCACCUUUUAAACUGAUUAUUAGAUUGAAGUACUGGUUAGAGUCGUUAUUUUUUUCUGAGAACGCUUCUCAAUCGAAGUCCCAAGGAAAAGCUUUGGUUCCUCAUCAUGCUCUGCUCUAACCGGCCAACUCGACGGCUACAAUUGAUUUCUAAUAUAUCUCGCCGCGAAUCUAAACCGCCACCACCGUUUUCAUUGAUGAUGAGACUGACGUUAUAAAGUUGAUGAGAGAGAAGAGCAAGAAGUAGAAGAAGAAAGUUGUUGCGGUGACAACGCUGCCAUGGAUGGAAUUGAAAAGCUCAAUUUCGAGAAAAUAAGAUACGGAGGAUAGAUCAUGUCAUCUGAUGUUGAGGCUCAACUACGACGCCAAUUUGGAAGCUUCGUCUGUUAAAUCUUGUGAUGUUUCUUGGGUCGGAAGCAACCGGGGCAGACGUCAAGUAUCCAGCAUCACCCCUGGGACACUACUGAUCAUCCUUGCUGGUAGGUUCAAGGGCAAGAGAGUUAAUUUUUUUUAACCAACUACCCUCUGUUUUUCUUUUUGUGACCGAUCAAUGAUUGCCACGUCCUGAAAGUCUCUGAUGUUAGCCUCGAUAAAUAUGAUGAUCAGUAUUUUGGAAAGGUAGGCGAGAAGAAGAACAAAAAGGGAGAAGGAGAGUCUCUGAUGGAGCCGUGGAUCUAUAUAUCUGAAUUAUAAACACCUAAAGGCAAAAUACAAAAAGUGUACUCAAGUUUAUUGUUUUCUGCUAGGCUUUAAUCUCAAGCUCUCCCAUGUACUUCUUCACUUCUUUCCUCUUCCUCUGCGUGUUGCCUUCCUCUCGUGUCCUUACUUAUACACUCCAAUGUAUCAGAGUCUUCGAGGCAGAGAGAGAGAAAGUGUCUACACAUAGGGAAAAAGACGACCAGAUGGCUGUGGACGGAGCUUUGAUCAAAGCCAUCGAGGUAGUUUCAGAGUUGAAUACUUGCCUUUGCACAGUUUUCAUUGCACAAGGAAUGGAGCCGAAUAAGCUUGUUUUCUAGAUUUUAAAACCUUUAAUGAGCAUCUUAGGUAUAUGUGCCCUCAUGCGUUACUCUUUUUUUGUUCUUGUCCACAUACCAGAGAUAUUUUGACUUGGUACAUUCUAUAUAUCACAUUUGGUAUAAACAAUCUAUCUUAUUUAAUUUGAACUUUGAAGCAAUAUUUUUCAAUAGAUAAUAAUAUUUUUAUGUUGAAAACUCAGUGAAUCUUCACGUAAACUGGGAUGAGAGCACAAAUAAAUGAAAUAGUUUUUUCCACAAAUAUUUUUUUGUAAUUAGAUAAGAUUGAUACUGAUGUGGACACAUAUCGACAGAGACAUCAGACAAAUUGGGCUAACUACCCGAACUUUACCAUUAUGUGUUUUUUUUUAUGUGUAGCUCGGAAUUUCAGAUAAGCUUAUAACCUGAAAGAAAUACUAAUAGAUUCGGAACGUCGUGCGUGAGUGAGUUCUACUCUCUCUUACGCCAAUUUGCCUUUGUACUUUUACCAUUCGAAUGAUAAAGCUGACUUACACGAUGGGAAAAACAUUUGUGUCACAUGUAAGUUGUGUUCUAAGUUCACCUUUGAUUUGCGUUUGCAAUUGGAAUAUAUUCAAAUAUUCUCUGCAUCACAACCCAUUAGCCAUCAACAGACAACCGCAAA